AAAACAGGGAUGAACGCUGGCGGCGUGCCUAACACAUGCAAGUCGAGCGGUAUAUGGUGGAAUGAAACUUCGGUCGAGUGAAGCCAUAGAGAGCGGCGGACGGGUGAGUAACGCGUAGGCAACCUGCCCCAUACAGAGGGAUAGCCUCGGGAAACCGGGAUUAAAACCUCAUAACGCGAGGAGUUCACAUGGACUUCUCGCCAAAGAUUCAUCGGUAUGGGAUGGGCCUGCGUCUGAUUAGCUAGUUGGUGAGGUAACGGCUCACCAAGGCGACGAUCAGUAGCCGACCUGAGAGGGUAAUCGGCCACAUUGGAACUGAGACACGGUCCAAACUCCUACGGGAGGCAGCAGUGGGGAAUAUUGCACAAUGGGCGAAAGCCUGAUGCAGCAACGCCGCGUGAGCGAUGAAGGCCUUUGGGUCGUAAAGCUCUGUCCUUGGGGAAGAAACAAAUGACGGUACCCUUGGAGGAAGCCCCGGCUAACUACGUGCCAG
rnacentral:rRNA from 1 species